GCCUACGGCCACGCCAUCCUGAACAAACCCGAUGUCUGAGCUCGGAAGCUAAGCAGGGUCGGGCCUGGUUAGUACUUGGAUGGGAGACCACCUAGGAAGACCAGGUGCUGUAGGCA
rnacentral:rRNA from 1 species